GACGAACGCUGGCGGCGUGCUUAACACAUGCAAGUCGAACGGAAAGGCCCUGCUUUUGUGGGGUGCUCGAGUGGCGAACGGGUGAGUAACACGUGAGUAACCUGCCCUUGACUUUGGGAUAACUUCAGGAAACUGGGGCUAAUACCGGAUAGGAGCUCCUGCUGCAGGGUGGGGGUGGGAAAGUUUCGGCGGUUGGGGAUGGACUCGCGGCUUAUCAGCUUGUGGGUGGGGUAGUGGCUUACCAAGGCUUUGACGGGUAGCCGGCCGGAGAGGGUGACCGGCCACCUUGGGCCUGCGAUACGGCCCAGACUCCUACGGGAGGCAGCAGUGGGGAAUAUUGCCCAGUGGGCGGAAGCCUGAUGCAGCAACGCCGCGUGCGUGAUGUCGGCCUUCGCGUUGUAAACCGCUUUCGCCUGUGACGAAGCGUGCGUGACGGUAAUGGGUAAAGAAGCACCGGCUAACUACGUG
rnacentral:rRNA from 1 species